CAAGGAAUUUUGCGCAAUGGGCGAAAGCCUGACGCAGCAACGCCGCGUGGGGGAAGAAGGCCCUCGGGUUGUAAACCCCUUUUGCGAGGGACGAAGAUCUGACGGUACCUCGCGAAUAAGCCACGGCUAACUACGUGCCAGCAGCCGCGGUAAUACGUAGGUGGCGAGCGUUGUCCGGAUUCACUGGGCGUAAAGCGCGCGCAGGCGGAUUCGUCAGUCCGGGGUGAAAGCUCACGGCUCAACUGUGAGAGGUCCCCGGAUACUGCGGGUCUAGAGGCACCUAGAGGAGAGUGGAAUUCCCGGUGUAGUGGUGGAAUGCGUAGAUAUCGGGAGGAACACCAGUGGCGAAAGCGGCUCUCUGGGGGUGACCUGACGCUGAGGCGCGAAAGCGUGGGGAGCGAACCGGAUUAGAUACCCCCGUAGUCC
rnacentral:rRNA from 1 species